AACGAACGCUGGCGGCGGGCUUAACACAUGCAAGUCGAACGGAUGUAGCAAUACAUCAGUGGCAGACGGGUGAGUAACACGUGGGAACCCUCCUAGAGGUGCGGAACAACUCAGGGAAACUUGAGCUAAUACCGUAUACGCUCGUGAGAGGAAAGAUUUAUCGCCUUUAGACGGGCCCGCGUCGGAUUAGCUAGUUGGUGAGGUAACGGCUCACCAAGGCGACGAUCCGUAGCUGAUCUGAGAGGAUGAUCAGCCACACUGGAACUGAGACACGGUCCAGACUCCUACGGGAGGCAGCAGUGGGGAAUCUUGGACAAUGGGCGCGAGCCUGAUCCAGCCAUGCCGCGUGAGUGAAGAAGGCCUUCGGGUUGUAAAGCUCUUUUGUCAGGGACGAUAAUGACGGUACCUGAAGAAUAAGCCCCGGCAAACUUCGUGCCAGCCGCCGCCGUAA
rnacentral:rRNA from 1 species